AUGGCUCAGGAUGAACGCUGGCGGCGUGCUUAACACAUGCAAGUCGAACGGAAAGCCCCUUCGGGGGAAUUCGAGUGGCGAACGGGUGAGUAACACGUGGGCAAUCCUGCCCCCUGGUCACCGGGAUAACUCAGGGAAACUUGAGCUAAUACCGGAUACUCCGUAGAGAUCGCAUGGUCUCAUCGGGAAAGCUCCGACGGACAGGGAUGAGCCCGCGGCCCAUUAGCUUGUUGGUAGGGUAAUGGCCUACCAAGGCGACGAUGGGUAGCCGAGCUGAGAGGCUGAUCGGCCACACUGGGACUGAGACACGGCCCAGACUCCUACGGGAGGCAGCAGUGGGGAAUUUUGCGCAAUGGGCGAAAGCCUGAACCGCAGCAACGCCGCGUGCGGGACGAAGGCCUUCGGGUUGUAAACCGCUUUCAGCAGGGAUGAAACUGACAGUACCUGCAGAAGAAGCCCCGGCUAACUACGUGCCAGCCGCCGC
rnacentral:rRNA from 1 species